rnacentral:sRNA from 1 species
GAUCUCUAGGGUUAUCUCAAGACACUGUUGUGAAAGUCACUGGACUCUAUUCAUUGUCCUUGUGCCUUUUUUUGUGAUAGGAUUGUUGGGCUUAGGUCGUAAGUCUCAGAGAAGAGGAUGGGUGGGUGACUGACAGGUACUUUAAUAUCCAGAAUCAAGUCAUCCCCUGUGGAAACUGGGAACUGAAAUGUGGUCAUUGACAAGGAUAGGUGCAGGUGCCCUGUAGUCCAUUACUGCUGAUCCUACUGCUGAAAGCCUGCCUGCUAGCUGCUUAUUCUCGGUUGGUAUCAACAGGGGACACUUGGGGACCUCAUACUCUUUAUGUCCUGUUUUGGUGCUUUUCUAUCUCCAGCGUUUGCCAUUGUCCUAAUGUGUUGUAUGGUCAGAGUACAUAAUUAAUAAUGAAUGGACAAAUGGAUUCUAAUGAAUGAAGGGAAUCUAGGGCUUAAAAUUGUUUAUAUUCACUGUUGUAAUUCUUAGUUACAUGUCUGUAUAUGGGUCUGUGCAUGGGAAUGUAGGUGCCCAUGGAGGCCAGAGGCAUCAGCAUCUCCUGCAGCUGGAGUUUUAGGUGGUUAUUGAGCCACCCAGUGGAGUUGCUAGGAAUUGUUCUUUGUAAGAA